AACGAACGCUGGCGGCAUGCCUAACACAUGCAAGUCGAACGAUUGCCUUCGGGUGAUAGUGGCGCACGGGUGCGUAACGCGUGGGAAUCUGCCCUUAGGUUCGGAAUAACAGCUGGAAACGGCUGCUAAUACCGGAUGAUAUCGCGAGAUCAAAGAUUUAUCGCCUGAGGAUGAGCCCGCGUUGGAUUAGGUAGUUGGUGAGGUAAAGGCCUACCAAGCCGACGAUCCAUAGCUGGUCUGAGAGGAUGAUCAGCCACACUGGGACUGAGACACGGCCCAGACUCCUACGGGAGGCAGCAGUGGGGAAUAGUGGACAAUGGGCGCAAGCCUGAUCCAGCAAUGCCGCGUGAGUGAUGAAGGCCCUAGGGUUGUAAAGCUCUUUUACCCGGGAAGAUAAUGACUGUACCGGGAGAAUAAGCCCCGGCUAACUCCGUG
rnacentral:rRNA from 1 species